CAGCAGCCGCGGGAAUACAGAGGGUGCAAGCGUUAAUCGGAAUUACUGGGCGUAAAGCGCGCGUAGGUGGUUUGUUAAGUUGGAUGUGAAAUCCCCGGGCUCAACCUGGGAACUGCAUCCAAAACUGGCAAGCUAGAGUAUGGUAGAGGGUGGUGGAAUUUCCUGUGUAGCGGUGAAAUGCGUAGAUAUAGGAAGGAACACCAGUGGCGAAGGCGACCACCUGGACUGAUACUGACACUGAGGUGCGAAAGCGUGGGGAGCAAACAGGAUUAGAUACCCCUGUAGUCCCUGUCUCUUAUAA
rnacentral:rRNA from 1 species